ensembl:lncRNA
CUUGCGUUUGGUACUGUACAAACAGAAGAGACUAAGAUUUUUUUUUGAGUUCUAAGGUUUUAUCAUAGCACUUAUGAAGAGCAAAUCGCUUCAACUGCAAUCCAAUAAAUCAAAAAGGAGCAGCAAAAACGAUGAAAACAACACAAAAAAAGUACUGCUCUUUUAUGUACUGUAUCUAUUCCAUGGAAACGUGUCUGGCGUUGUUCCUCUGGUAGCAGGCUGAAGGGAAACAAAACUGAACUGUACCAUUGGACUUUUGGGGGGAAAAAACUUCACUCUUGGUUUUUUCCCCUUCUUUGAACUAUAUCAACGUGAUUAUCACUGUUACUCCAAAAAUUGUUAUCCUUGCUCUCUUUGGAGGCUCUAGACUUUGCAGUGUCAGUGGUCUCUGACACCCGCUGGACAGCCAAUCCGGUCAGUCGGUGGUUGAGUCAGAGUGGGGUGAGGUGGGGGAGUGUCCACUGAGUGCCUCUUUGCUGUGGUCCUCUGGAUGUCGAGCGGCAGCCCCACAGCGCAGCACUUCCUCCUGGGCUCCACUUGACCGUCUCUCAGUCUGGCGUGAAAAACGGAUCCUCCGGGACUGGCCAAUCACGGCUCUCUGCCGCACACACGGCAUCUCCAACAGGGGCCCACUACCACUCGACCCUGCUGUCAUCCUGCCCUCUUCCCCACCUCCCAUCUCUCAGUUCUUUGACACAAAGAUCACUUUAGCUGGAAGAUGUAAUAGUCAUAUUUCUGGAAUUUUUGCCAGUGUACUUUGUAUUUUUUGGAAAAGAUCAUUUGACUUUUUUUUUUUUUUUCCAGUGUGUUAUAUUGUUAUUUUUAUCUACAUGCAGUGGUCUACAAAGUACUGGCUGCUGAACUAGCCCUUCACUGUUCAUAUGCAGAAACACUUUGGUCAGAGGUGCCUCUGUAUGUUCAUCCUGUGUAUUGAAUGCAAAAUGAGGAUCAAUACUACAGACCGUUAAUGAUUGUCUAUUUGUUUUUAACUGAUCAUGCUUUCUUCGUUUGACAGUAUUCUGUAGUACUUCCAGGUAGUAUCUUGAGAUGUGUAAGAAAAAAAAAAAGGUGUCUCAGACGGGGGAUGUGGGUGUUUGCCGCUCCAAGCUGCUCCACCUGCCCGCAGGCUGUCCCCCCUUGCCCUUUGCCUAGCUGCUAUGCUAUGACCUCCUCUCCUCCUCCACCACAAGAAGACCCAGUAGCCCUCCCCUGACCAAGCACCUACAGGCCCUCAUAUCUGUUUCUAUGCAAAAAGACGAGAGGCUGGGGCCCUUUACAGCACGCCAAAGCUGUCUUGGGAAUGAGCACUCCUCCCAGAGCUUGGCAUAUCCUAACAAUUGUCCCCCACGCGCUCCUGUCAGCACUUCAAACUGGCCGCAGUUUCUGUAAAGUCAGGCUCAGCCACCAGAACACUGUCAUGUAUCUAAAAGUUAGAACACUUUAUCAAAAGGUCGGCCUUUCUCUCUGAGCUGAAGACGCUUCUGUCCAGCUUGAUCUCAGGGUAGGGGAGUUGAUGAUACAAAGUAUGAGAUGCAGCUCUCCGUAUCUGUCCUUUCUACUGUGAGAGCAAAGUCUAAAACUUCGAAGGCCAUCUGCACGCAGCAGGACGUACAGACCUCAUGCCUCGAAACUGAAUCCUUAUUGUUGGGGGGAAGAGGCUCGCAUUGAAUCCUCUUCCCAAAAAGAUGGCCUCUUGUUAUUGUUUGGGGAGACAUUAUUGCAUGUAAAAAGAUGCCAAUGUAUUGUGCCAAUAUAAAUUUGCUGUGUCAUACUGUAUAUUUAUAGAGAGCACUUCUGUUCCCUGUUUGGAGGAGCUUUGAUGACCUUUGCAGAGGGUGUAGGGGGGGACAGGAGGGAUCAAACAAAAGGGCGGCAGCAUCACACCCUGAAGCGACUGAGAUUUUUUUUUAUGCUUUUGUGGGGAAUGCCCCAAGCUAAGGAGAAAAUCUUUACUCAGUUGGGGGUUCCGGUUUGCUACAGUGCACAGUUGAUGAUGGGUAAUCCCGGGUACAUAUUUUUUUAAAACCAAAAAUGAAAUUGCAUUUUAACGUCAUUUUUAUGAAGUUUGACAUAAAAAUCUUAAAAAUGCUAAAAAAUCUAAAUGGAAAAAAAAAGAUCUAUAAUAUGUUAAAAGCUCUGCACUUCUAGCUGAAACGUCUCUGGUCAUCAGCCUCUGCUACCAACAUCUAAAGGAGCAGAGCGGUGGCUGGGGUGCCUUUUUUUUGUGGAUGCUGUAUUUAUCUCGUUUUACGUUUGUGCCCUGCUCAAAGCAGGCCCACUGAACUGUACAUUUCCACAGACCCAGGUGGCUUGGGCCCACUGUAUCAGCCUCACUCUCUGAUUCUGCAUCAGCAGGAGCAGAGAGGCACAUUUCAAGAGGUACAAAGUCUUAAAAAUGAAACAAAAAAACAAAAAAAAAAAGCUUAAAAAAUAUAUAUUAAAAAAAAAAUAAGAAAACGGGAAAAGGCUACCUUUCAGGACUUUCAGUCCUGCAGCACACAAGCAAAAAUCACUAUUGCCUGUUUCUGUAACUGCCUUGAUCCAAGCUCAGACAGACCCAAUAGCCGAGGACCUCCCAGCAUCCUGUACUAACUGGAGAACCCUGACAGUGAAGGGGGUUUCCCAUGCUGCACCAGCAUCGAGAGGCUCUCCUCUCUACAGCUCUGUUCUAGAUAGCAGUAUAUGUAUACACUACAUAUAAAUAUAUAUAUCUAUAUAUAUAUGUACUGUGAGUACGGUGUGUGGUAUCACCUCUUCAGACUUCUUGGAUCGUAACCUCUGAAACUUUCAUUUUAGUUUGAAAGGUCUUGGUUUAACACAGCUGAAAAUGAGCAAUAUGUAUUUUCCCCGCAAAUAAGUGAGACAAAGGAAAGAAUUUGGGUCGGGUAUAAACUGAUACUUGACUGAUCGAAAGCAAAGUCUUUCUUGUACGGAGUCAGAUAUGCACGUUCUGGUUUUGAUGACAUAUUACAGUACUAUGAAGUGUUUGUACUGUAUAUGUGUGUUAUUUGUUUGUUAAUUAGGCUGCCUAAAAGCCCAACCUGAAUCACCUGGUUUAAUGCAUAUUUUACCCAGUUGAUUAAAAAAAAAAAAAAGAAAUCACAAACAUAUCAAAACAAAACAAAACAUUGAACAGAAAUACUUGAAUCAUUGAACGCCAAUAACAUAAUGUGAAGUCAGUAAUUAUUAUUUUUUUGUUCUUUCCAUCUGACAGGUACACUUAGGGGCUUUUAGAGAACACCAGAUGUGUAUUGCAUUAAGUUACAAAUACAAAAUCUUUGAAAAAAACAAAGUCAUCUUAGAUGUGUGCUUGAAAGUCAGAUGUUUGUAUGAAUGUGUGCUCAAGAAACUGUGUACAGGGCACGUGGCCUGCUGUUAUGUUCCACUCAGUACGUUAUAUUUUGUGUCUGUUUAUAUCUUCUUUUUUUCGUUGUUGUUAUUGUUGAUGAUCUGUCAAAAACUAUUCUGAUAGACGUUGUUAUCUUCUAACGUUGCACUGAGUGUCUUCUACCCCUCACUCAGCUAAUCGUAGUUAAACGAGUCUAAGUACGGAGGGGCGAUGGUGACAAUUCAUGUGUACAUGUUUACUCAAGGACUUUGUUUUUCCAUUCUGUAAAAAGUUUAUCUACCUUAUAGUGGCUUUUAUUGUGGAAUAAUCCAAUACAAGGAUUAUCUUGAGUAUUGCACCAUUUUGUUCCAAUUAUAUAAAAAAGGAAAUAGGAAAAAAAAAUUAAAAAAGAAAAAUGUGCAAAAAAAAAAUGAUAAAAGGAAAAAAAAAGAGUAACAAAAAACAAAAAAAAAACAAAGAACUGUGGCCAUAGAUAGCUGUAGAAGGACUAGUAAUCCCGAUUUUAACUUCAUGGAGAGACGGAAAGGGAUAAAGUGUGGGAGGUGAGUUUGUUAUAAGACUCAUUUCAGAGGUGCCUAUCUUUUCUUUUUUUAUUUUGCAAAAGCCACCUGUCGUUUACAAAGCAUUUCAUUUAUCGGAGUUCAAGGAAACAGGAAUGUUUUUUGGUUUCGUUUUUUGUUUUUAAGGACAAAUUUCAUCUUCCAUCAAAUAUGGACAUGAAAAUCUUGCAAAAUGAAGAUUUAUGCUACUUUCAGAACUCUGGGAUUGAUCAGUGUUGUCAUAUUUCAAUUUUUAAUUUCUCUUUUAGUAUCGAUGGACUAUCUCUGUAUGUGUUACAUGGUGAUUUUAUGUUUUCUGUAAUACUGCAACGCAGUUUACUCACUAUCUUGCACACUCAUUUAAAAAAAAAAAAAAGAUGUGGAUUUUGUCUCAGGAAGGCCAGGGUUCCAGAUACCAACUCCAUCAUUUCUAGGUUUGAUGUUCGUGUGAAAAUAAGCAACUGAGAACUAUUAAACUCCAAGAAAGCACUGAAGUUUAUGAGUUUAACAGAAUAUAGAGAGUACCAUUGUUUCUUUAAAACAACAAAAAAUGUUCGUAGCAAGUCACAUAUUUACCAAAUAAGACUAAGAAUCAACUUUGAGAAAAGUGGAGCGCUUUACAUGUGAAAUUUGAAGUAGAAAUUGCUUUACAUUUAAACGCGAUCAGUGGUUUGAUUGUCAUUAUGACAGUGACAGGAAAAUGCAUUUGUAUGUUUUGACUUUGAGUUUCCAUCCUGUAGUUCAGGAGCACGUGCAAGACACUCUUUGUUUGUUUGUUUUAAAAUCAUCUCUCCUGCCUGUUAACAUGUCAGUUCCUGUGACAGGUAUUCAAUAGCUGAGAGAUUUCUUAACAUGUAACAGAUGGUUUUCAGAGGCAUGUUGAAGAGGAGGAAUAAAGCUGGUUUUUAAUGGAUCAUGAUCUAUGCACAAGUGGGAGGGAGGAGUCCAAACCCUGCUGCUGUACUGCGGCGUUUGUCGACUCAGACUCUGGGGUUCAGGGUUUGAUGGAGGGUUUUCAUUUUUUUGUGUGUGUUUUUUGCUGAAAUUUCUUCCACUCCCAUCCCACCCAUUGUCAUCUAAUGUUUUAGCAAAAUUUUACAUUGCGUCGUCAUGCUGUGUAAUCCUUAACCAAUGAGCGCUUAUCCUUCUGCUAAAGCACUGUGGGUUGUACUGAGGAAAAAACAAAAAGAAGCCCGUUACUUUUAAGGCUGUCUGUUUUUUUUAAGGGGAGGACGGCGGGUGGGUUGUGGGAGUGGGGGUACUUUGCCUUUGCCUUUCUCUUUACUUUGAAGAAAAAAAAAAGUGAAAUUGUCUGUAACUGAAAUACAAAGUUGUGGCUUUUAAUGUUGUUCUUUUUUUUCUCCUCAUAGAAUGUGAUUGUUAAAGACAUGCACCGAAGAAAAAAAAAAUGUUUCCAUGGAACUUCUUUCGGACUAUAUUAAUAAACUGCAAAUUUUCUUGUCUGUUAUUUUGUAUCUUGUCCUGUUUUUUUUUUUUUUUUUUUUUUUUUUUUUUUUCUUUGUUUGAUUGUAUGUUUUUUUUAAUAGUAGAAGGGAAAAAAAGCUUUUUGGGGGGCAACUAAAAUCAAACUUUUAAAGCUGUUUUUAGCAUAUUUUACUUGUGAUUCCAUACGUGCAGAUUUUAAGGUCUGGUGAACAUUUUUAUAAUGCUCCAAAGUAACAGCCAAGAGCUAUGUUGAAGGUACAAUGUGUAAAAUCUCAGCACCUUUCGAUUGCAGCCAACUGAAUUCUGGUUUCUUACCCCUUCCAAUUUAAUUGCAUAAUCCUAGUUACAGUGGCUGCUGUAGGGAAAAACACACUGUGGUAGUUUUGGUAGUUUAUCUGUUGUAAAUGCAGGCUGUUAGUCGGCUGUUUACCUCAGCUGGCAAUGCCAGGUGAAAUGCGUGAAAACUAAUACAAGUCGCAGAAGCUCACUUCUGCUUUUGAUGGUAUCCUGAACGUUUGUUAGUAAGCGCU